AGCUCCAAUAGCGUAUAUUAAAGUUGUUGCAGUUAAAAAGCUCGUAGUUGGAUUUGUGGAUGUUGCGUGCGCCCCGGCACUUGAUUGUGUUGUGGGAUUGCGUGUGACUCCAUCCUUGGGUGGAUUUUGCGUGGCAUUCAGUUGUCGUGCAGGGGAUGCCCAUCGUUUACUGUGAAAAAAUUAGAGUGUUCAAAGCAGGCUUACGCCGAUGAAUAUAUUAGCAUGGAAUAAUGAGAUAGGACCUUGGUACUAUUUUGUUGGUUUGCGUACCUCGGUAAUGAUUAAUAGGGGUAGUUGGGGGUAUUCGUAUUCCAUUGUCAGAGGUGAAAUUCUUGGAUUUUUGGAAGACGAACUAGUGCGAAAGCAUUUACCAAGGAUGUUUUCAUUAAUCAAGAACGAA
rnacentral:rRNA from 1 species